GUGGGGAAUAUUGCGCAAUGGGGGGAACCCUGACGCAGCAACGCCGCGUGGAGGAAGAAGGUCUUCGGAUUGUAAACUCCUGUCUUCUGGGACGAAAAAUGACGGUACCAGAGGAGGAAGCCACGGCUAACUACGUGCCAGCAGCCGCGGUAAUACGUAGGUGGCGAGCGUUGUCCGGAAUUACUGGGCGUAAAGGGCGUGCAGGCGGUUUUUUAAGUCAGAUGUGAAACCCCGGGGCUUAACUUCGGGAUUGCAUUUGAAACUGAAGGGCUUGAGUGCAGGAGAGGUAAGUGGAAUUCCUAGUGUAGCGGUGAAAUGCGUAGAUAUUAGGAGGAACACCAGUGGCGAAGGCGACUUACUGGACUGUAACUGACGCUGAGGCGCGAAAGCGUGGGGAGCAAACAGGAUUAGAAACCCCAGUAGUCC
rnacentral:rRNA from 1 species